rnacentral:rRNA from 1 species
AAAUUGAAGAGUUUGAUCAUGGCUCAGAUUGAACGCUGGCGGCAGGCCUAACACAUGCAAGUCGAGCGGUAGCACAGAGAGCUUGCUCUCGGGUGACGAGCGGCGGACGGGUGAGUAAUGUCUGGGAAACUGCCUGAUGGAGGGGGAUAACUACUGGAAACGGUAGCUAAUACCGCAUAACGUCGCAAGACCAAAGUGGGGGACCUUCGGGCCUCAUGCCAUCAGAUGUGCCCAGAUGGGAUUAGCUAGUAGGUGGGGUAAUGGCUCACCUAGGCGACGAUCCCUAGCUGGUCUGAGAGGAUGACCAGCCACACUGGAACUGAGACACGGUCCAGACUCCUACGGGAGGCAGCAGUGGGGAAUAUUGCACAAUGGGCGCAAGCCUGAUGCAGCCAUGCCGCGUGUGUGAAGAAGGCCUUCGGGUUGUAAAGCACUUUCAGCGGGGAGGAAGGCGAUAAGGUUAAUAACCUUGUCGAUUGACGUUACCCGCAGAAGAAGCACCGGCUAACUCCGUGCCAGCAGCCGCGGUAAUACGGAGGGUGCAAGCGUUAAUCGGAAUUACUGGGCGUAAAGCGCACGCAGGCGGUCUGUCAAGUCGGAUGUGAAAUCCCCGGGCUCAACCUGGGAACUGCAUUCGAAACUGGCAGGCUAGAGUCUUGUAGAGGGGGGUAGAAUUCCAGGUGUAGCGGUGAAAUGCGUAGAGAUCUGGAGGAAUACCGGUGGCGAAGGCGGCCCCCUGGACAAAGACUGACGCUCAGGUGCGAAAGCGUGGGGAGCAAACAGGAUUAGAUACCCUGGUAGUCCACGCCGUAAACGAUGUCGAUUUGGAGGUUGUGCCCUUGAGGCGUGGCUUCCGGAGCUAACGCGUUAAAUCGACCGCCUGGGGAGUACGGCCGCAAGGUUAAAACUCAAAUGAAUUGACGGGGGCCCGCACAAGCGGUGGAGCAUGUGGUUUAAUUCGAUGCAACGCGAAGAACCUUACCUGGUCUUGACAUCCACAGAACUUAGCAGAGAUGCUUUGGUGCCUUCGGGAACUGUGAGACAGGUGCUGCAUGGCUGUCGUCAGCUCGUGUUGUGAAAUGUUGGGUUAAGUCCCGCAACGAGCGCAACCCUUAUCCUUUGUUGCCAGCGGUCCGGCCGGGAACUCAAAGGAGACUGCCAGUGAUAAACUGGAGGAAGGUGGGGAUGACGUCAAGUCAUCAUGGCCCUUACGACCAGGGCUACACACGUGCUACAAUGGCAUAUACAAAGAGAAGCGACCUCGCGAGAGCAAGCGGACCUCAUAAAGUAUGUCGUAGUCCGGAUUGGAGUCUGCAACUCGACUCCAUGAAGUCGGAAUCGCUAGUAAUCGUAGAUCAGAAUGCUACGGUGAAUACGUUCCCGGGCCUUGUACACACCGCCCGUCACACCAUGGGAGUGGGUUGCAAAAGAAGUAGGUAGCUUAACCUUCGGGAGGGCGCUUACCACUUUGUGAUUCAUGACUGGGGUGAAGUCGUAACAAGGUAACCGUAGGGGAACCUGCGGUUGGAUCACCUCCUUA